GAUCCUGCUCAGGAUGAACGCUAGCGACAGGCUUAACACAUGCAAGUCGAGGGGCAGCACAGGUAGCAAUACCGGGUGGCGACCGGCGCACGGGUGAGUAACGCGUAUGCAACUUGCCUAUCAGAGGGGGAUAACCCGGCGAAAGUCGGACUAAUACCGCAUGAAGCAGGGGUCCCGCAUGGGGAUAUUUGCUAAAGAUUCAUCGCUGAUAGAUAGGCAUGCGUUCCA
rnacentral:rRNA from 1 species